CCGUUGUGUGAUGUGAUUUAGGAUUUAAGUUUGCUGGCAGACCCUAGCUUCUUAUCAUUCCAGGCCUUAAUUAAUUGAGGUUAGGUUGAUAGGACGCUGGGCUCACUGUAAUUCGCAAGAAUUGCAGAGAUGUUCAGCAGAACCUUGACAACUGCAUAGGUAAGUCUGGAAAGAAUAAAGCAUCUCAUGGAUGCAUGAUUCUUGGGAGUCAACUAAUGCAAUCUGCGUCAGUAGAGAGCUGAGGUUGAUCAACGAGAAUGAUGUUUGAUUCUUGAGUCAAGAGCCGAGACUCUAUAGCGUUCUUUCGAUGUCAUCGAGGCGUCGAGAGUUUGAUUGGUCAUUCAAACCAUCUUCAAUGACAAACAAUUCAGUUUAACU
rnacentral:misc_RNA from 1 species